ACUCAGCCUGAAAUUUGGUCUAUAAAGUACCACAUGCAUAAGAACACGUUCAGUCUGAAAGAUGAAAAUUGUUCUUAAAUAUAAAAAAAAAUUGGCUGACAAUAAUGUAGUAAUCAGAAAUAUAUCUUCUUGAAGGAACGGUUUGGCUUUAAGUUUUAUUCCCUUUUUAAUUUCCUAUCCUAAUUUCCUGACCCCAUAGCUGAAUAGCCUGGUCACAAGUUCUAAGAUGCAUUUGGUUGGAAAAUGAACACUGACCGUUGACCAUCAUUGUUUCUUGAACGUCAAAGUAUUAUUUGGAUUUUCUAAUGAUCUUGCAUGUGUGCAAUGUGAGAAGACUAUGAAAGGUUCCUUCAGAUUCUAUUGAGAACUAACAUGACCUUGAUGCUUUGUUAAAAACAAAAUAUAAUUUUGAAGAAAUGGCUCAAAUUUUUUGGAAAGGUGAUAGCAUGACACUGCAUAAGUUAUAAAGAGACAUGCUAUCACAGAUUUGAUGAAAAAACAGUUUUUAUUCUCAUUCUGCAUUUUCUAUCCAGUCUGCAUUUUGUACAUGGCAUGCAUUCUGCAUUUUGUAGCUAGGCUGCAUUUUGUACCCAGCACACAGUCUGCAUUUUUACUGACUGCCAAGCUGUAAUUUACCACUUACACAUACCAUGUAUUGUAUUUCUGUUACAUUUCAUUGGUUUCCUUCUGCAGUUGCUUUCAUGUUCAACUGCACAGGUAGCAGGGAAUAUGACCCUCUCGAAAGUAUUAAUUGCUGAAAGAUCAUUUUAAUUCACAUUCAUCAAUCACAGAUAAAAUCAGGGUGCUGGGCAUUUAUCAAAGUAUUUAUUAUUAUAAUUUAAAGUAUCCAGUUAGUCACUAAGAUCGCAAUCACAGCCACAAUAUACAAUGCUUUCGGAGCAUGAAAUAUGAACUGAGUUAGUCUCACAUUAUCUGCCUGCGGUGAUGCAAUUAAGUUAUAAUGUUGAAAAUUCUCCUUUAACUUCUCCUUUUCCCCUUUGCAUUCUCCUCAUCUUCCUCCUCCUCCUCUUCAUCAUUAUCAUUGUCACCUCAUCAUUAUUUCAUAAAGUUCAAUGCAUAUUGGUUAUCAGUUGCUUUACUUGUUUUCACAGAGCAAUAUUGGUUGACUCAUUCAAUCAUUUCUAAUUUAAUAACAGAGCCUUGGUGCAGAUCAAGGGUGACAUUAUAACACGCUGACACUUGACCUCAGAAUGCCGGAAAUCUCAUUUCUGAAUACCUCAAUUUUAAGAAUUUACUGGAAGUAUCUUGAACUCCCUUACCAAAAAUCCUAUAUAUUCCUCCCAGCAAACCAUGUUUAGUUAUUUGUUUCUAGGAGAUGAUAUACAGUCUGAACUGCACAUUCCAAAAGUUUUACCUGAUUUAUUUUUUGUUUUUAUAUGACUGAAUGCUCUAUCAUUAAGACUGUGAGCUCUUGUAAACUCUUUUGCAUAAUUUUUUAUACACAAAUAAUACUGUAGUUUACAAGGCCUAUCCCAUGGUAUUUAUUUUAUACCACCUUUAAGAUUCCAGUCCUGAAACUCUAAGCCAGGGGCUAGUAGGUGCAUUACCUAUAAAGAAAGGAAGGAAGCUUUGCAAAAGUUGCAUGCAACCCAACCCUUCAGCCAGUAAGAGUUGCAAGGUGGAGGGUUGUGGGGCUAACUUCCCAGAAAAAUCAUUCGACUGGGAAAAAAUACACCGCAGCGGGAGUGUACCAGCAGUGGAGAAGCAGAGAGCUGUAGUGGCUUAUGUCCUGAAUGACCAGAUUCUCUCCGUCGGAAUUGUAGACGUAAACCGUUGCGUACUUCAUGGCCACAAGAUUGAGAGAGGAUUCGUCUGUAUCCUAGUAACGUACGUUAAAAACAAACGCAUGCCUGCGCCCAUAAUUUUGGGAGAUCGCGAGGAAAAUAGAUUCCUUCAGAAAGGAAUGAACUUUUUCUUGCCUAUUGGUAACUUGUUCAAAUGUCAAAAAUUUAUUGCAGGCGACAAAGUGGUUUUACUCCAAUAUGAAAAUUCAAAAUAAUGUUAGCCGUAAAGACCAACAAUAAAACUUGAUUUUGUAAACGUUUCAA
rnacentral:lncRNA from 1 species